GCAAAUUAUGCAUCUAAUUUUUAUGGUUACUAAAAUUUAGAGACGAAUGGAGAACCCAUCAGACUUGGUCACAAAUAUUAAAUGAAAAAAUCAACAACGAUUAAACUCAUAAGAUAUGAAAGAACAUAUAUCGUCACAAAAUAAGCAAACUUUAUUAGUAUAAUGCCGGACCAGAAGGAUCCACCUCCAGUCUAGGUUGAUUUUUAU
rnacentral:lncRNA from 1 species